rnacentral:RNase_P_RNA from 1 species
AUCAGACAAUCGCGUUUCUUAUGAAAUGAGGAAAGUCCGGGCUCCAUAGGGCGAGGAUGCCAGAUAACGUCUGGGGUAGGUAACUAUAGGGAAAGUGCAACAGAAACAUUCCGCCGAAACAAGUAAUGUUGUGGUAAGGUUGAAAUGGUGAGGUAAGAGCUCACCGGCAAUACAGAGAUGUAUUGGCCGUGUAAACCCCAUCCGGAGCAAGACCAAAAGGAACUUAAAAAGCGGUUGCCCGUCGCUGUUCAGAGGUAGGUUGCUAGAGCAUGUUGGUGACAACAUGUCGAGAUAGAUGAUUGUCAAAUACAGAACCCGGCUUAUAGAUUUGCC